rnacentral:rRNA from 1 species
UACGUAGGGUGCAAGCGUUGUCCGGAAUUAUUGGACGUAAAGAGCUCGUAGGCGGUGUGUCGCGUCUGCUGUGAAAACCCGAGGCUCAACCUCGGGCCUGCAGUGGGUACGGGCAGACUAGAGUGCGGUAGGGGAGAUUGGAAUUCCUGGUGUAGCGGUGGAAUGCGCAGAUAUCAGGAGGAACACCAAUGGCGAAGGCAGAUCUCUGGGCCGUAACUGACGCUGAGGAGCGAAAGCAUGGGGAGCGAACAGG